GGAACCGUUGAUUCGCACAAUUGGUCAUCGCGCUUGUUGAAAAGCAGUGGCGCGAAGCUACCGUGCGUUGGAUUAUGACUGAACGCCUCUAAGUCAGAAUCCGGGCUAGACCGACGCAUGCGCUCGUCGCCCGUUUGCCGACCCGCAGUAGGGCCAUUUGGCCCCCAAGGGCACGUGUCGUUGGCUAAGCCGUCGUGGCGGAAAGGGUCACGGUGGCCGCCUUGAAUUACAAUUUCGAUCGAGCGGCGAGCUGAAUCCUUUGCAGACGACUUAAAUACGCGACGGGGUAUUGUAAGGGGUAGAGUGGCCUUGCUGCCACGAUCCUCUGAGAUUCAGCCCUUUGUCGCUCCGAUUCGU
rnacentral:ncRNA from 1 species